CUUCUAAAGUUUGCAAAUUUUGUACACUUUUGUAUUGCAAUUUUCGCAUGCAAUACAAAAGUAUACAAAAUUUGCAAACUUUGCAAGGCUAU
rnacentral:miRNA from 1 species